UUGACCUCAAAUCAAGCCAGACUAC
rnacentral:rRNA from 1 species